AAUCUGUAUUGUGGCCACCUCCGCAAGUGAUCCUUGAAGCACUCCCAUGUCUCAAACAUUAAUUCCAAUUCCAUCUGCACAAACAAUGAUAUCUUAUUGCGUAGGUU